CAAGGCUGUGACCUAGAGAGUAGUGUGUUUGUGUGUCUUGUGUCUCUGUUUGUGUGUGUGUAUUCCUCUGUGUGUUUGUGUGUGUGUGUCCCGCUGUGUGUUUGGGUGUGUGUGUGUCUCCCGCUGUGUGUUUGUGUGUGUCAGGUCACAGGCCAAGGUCUCCUACCUGAUCCGCUCUGAGGGAAUCGGCCUGCGAGUACAUUAAGAGAUUGCGGUGGGGCGCCGAGCCGAGGCUCACUGGCUCGACUUAAAGACAUACACACAUAAUCCUGGCUGCUCUGCUCCACCUAACAAGGAUACACGUGGCAGGCGUGCCCCUGUCCUUGGGCACCCUUACCCACCCUAAAGUCACUUCAUCUGCCAACUGGAUAAAGAUAGAGAGGGGUACACAGAGACGAGAGAGAGGGGUACACAGAGACGAGAGAAAGAGGGGAUACACAGAGACGAGGGAGAGAGAGACCGACAGAUGGAGAGAGAGAGGGAAGCAGACAGUAGAGAGACGUGACAGGACAGAGGUUACCCCACACCAUCAUGCCAUCCUGCCCAGCCUGAUCACACAAAGCACAGUCAAAGCACACCAACACCUAACCAUGCACUUUAACUAUGGAGGCUUGAGAUCUGCAAGUGUAUGGUAUGUGUUUUGGUAUGCUAUAAAAUGCUACGCUACGUAAUUCCACGGUAUGUCACGUGGACUGUGUUAAUUUUGAUGUGAUAAUAAAUUGAAUUGCACAGAGACAAAACAUUCUUUGUGUUUGUAUUAUUUGAACUGUGAGUAGAUAUACACUACCAUUCAAAAGUUUGGGGUCACUUAGAAUUGUCCUUGUUUUUGAAAGAACAUCACAUUUUUUGUCCAUUCAAAUAACAUCAAAUUGAUCCGAAAUACAGUGUAGACAUUGUUAAUGUUGUAAAUGACUAUUGUGGCUGUAAAUGGCUGAUUUUUUUAUGGAAUAUCUACAUAAGCGUACAGUGGCCCAUUAUCAGCAACCAUCACUCCUGUGUUCCAAUGGCACGUUGUGUUAGCUAAUCCAAGUUUAUCAUUUAAAAGGCUAAUUUAUCAUUAGAAAACCCUUUUGCAAUUAUGUUAGCAC
rnacentral:lncRNA from 1 species